rnacentral:ncRNA from 1 species
UCCCUGCUUCUCCUCCCUGAGCGGGUGCCUGUCGUUAUUCGAUUAGGUUGUUCGCCCGCCCGCCGUACUGCGGCGGGUUUUUUAU